rnacentral:tRNA from 2 species
GCGCCCGUGGCGGAAGUGGCAGACGCGCUGGAUUUAGGUUCCAGUGUCUUAUGACGUGGGAGUUCAAGUCUCCCCGGGCGCACCA